AUUGAACGCUGGCGGCAUGCCUUACACAUGCAAGUCGAACGGCAGCGCGGACUUCGGUCUGGCGGCGAGUGGCGAACGGGUGAGUAAUACAUCGGAACGUACCCUGUUGUGGGGGAUAACUAGUCGAAAGAUUAGCUAAUACCGCAUACGACCUGAGGGUGAAAGUGGGGGACCGCAAGGCCUCACGCAGCAGGAGCGGCCGAUGUCUGAUUAGCUAGUUGGUGGGGUAAAGGCCCACCAAGGCGACGAUCAGUAGCUGGUCUGAGGGGACGAUCAGCCACACUGGGACUGAGACACGGCCCAGACUCCUACGGGAGGCAGCAGUGGGGAAUUUUGGACAAUGGGGGCAACCCUGAUCCAGCAAUGCCGCGUGUGUGAAGAAGGCCUUCGGGUUGUAAAGCACUUUUGUCCGGAAAGAAAUCGCGCUGGUUAAUACCUGGCGUGGAUGACGGUACCGGAAGAAUAAGCACCGGCUAACUACGUG
rnacentral:rRNA from 1 species